UACAAGGGAGACUAGUGUUAUUCAUUUUUAUUAGGUUUAAAGGGUACCUAGACGGUUUAUCUAGCCUAACAGUGGUACAGAUAAUACUAGAGGUUAAUACGGGAGGUAAAUAUUAGUACUAUUAGUGUAGAGAUGAAAUUUUUUGAUACUUUUAGGACGGAUAAUGGUGAAAACAAUCCUCUAUGUAUAAACUGACGUUGAG
rnacentral:rRNA from 1 species